UACGUAGGGGGCAAGCGCUGUCCGGAUUUACUGGGCGUAAAGAGCGCGUAGGCGGAAGUUUAAGCGGUGCUUGAAAGCCCCCGGCUCAACCGGGGAGAGUGGUGCCGAACUGGACUUCUUGAGGGCGAUAGAGGAGAGUGGAAUUCCGGGUGUAGCGGUGAAAUGCGUAGAGAUCCGGAGGAACACCAGUGGCGCAGGCGGCUCUCUGGGUCGGCCCUGACGCUGAGGCGCGAAAGCUAGGGGAGCAAACGGG
rnacentral:rRNA from 1 species